rnacentral:tRNA from 1 species
GGGCUGGGGCUCAGUGGUAGAGUGCUUGCCUAGCAUGUGUGAGGCACUGGGUUUGAUUCUCAGCACCACA